UACGUAGGGGGCAAGCGUUGUCCGGAAUUAUUGGGCGUAAAGAGCGUGUAGGCGGCCAGAUAGGUCUGCUGUGAAAACUCGAGGCUCAACCUCGAGCUGUCGGCGGAAACCAUCUGGCUAGAGUCCGGAAGAGGAGAGUGGAAUUCCCGGUGUAGCGGUGAAGUGCGCAGAUAUCGGGAAGAACACCUGUGGCGAAGGCGGCUCUCUGGGACGGUACUGACGCUGAGACGCGAAAGCGUGGGGAGCAAAACAGGAUUGA
rnacentral:rRNA from 1 species